CAGCAGCCACGGUAAUACGAAGGUCCCGAGCGUUGUUCGGAAUCACUGGGCGUAAAGGGAGCGUAGGCGGCGUGGUAAGUCAGAUGUGAAAUCCCGGGGCUCAACCCCGGAACCGCAUCCGAUACUGCCAUGCUAGAGGAUUGGAGAGGUAGCUGGAAUUCUUGGUGUAGCAGUGAAAUGCGUGGAGAUCAAGAGGAACACUCGUGGCGAAAGCGAGCUACUGGACAAUAACUGACGCUGAGGCUCGAAGGCCAGGGUAGCGAAAGGGAUUAGAUACCCGCGUAGUCCCUGUCUCUUUAUU
rnacentral:rRNA from 1 species